UGCUCUUCCAGCACCACUAAUCCAAAAAAAAAACUUACUGUUGGGAGACAGUUCAAAUGCGGUUCACUCGGGUGAUUCCUGAGUUGAGGGGGCUAACCAAUCAAGAAUGGCUAUCCUGAUUAAGCCUCUUUUUUCAUCAGAGUUUAGAAGAAUGGAGGGUGAUAUUUUUGAAAUCUACAGAUUCUGAGAGGGCUUCACAGCAUAGAUAUUGAGAAGAUAUUUCCAUCUGGUGGGCAAAUCUCAAACUAAUGGACAUUGUUGGAUUCAUACCCAAUACGUAAGAAGAUGAUUGUUGGAGGUCAGUCAUCUCAACUCCAGGACAUUUCUGCAAGAGUUCCUCAGUUUAGUAUUCUCGGCCCAAACAUAUUCACCUGCUACAUCAAAGAUUUUUUCUCCAUCGUAAGCGGGUGUAACUCAUAUGCAGUAUCCAAUAUUGAUGGAUGUCUAGCAGGAUGAAAUUUGGAUUUCCCUGCCGAUGGAUUUGUUGUUCCCUGACUUUCAGUGCUGAGGUUAGCAAUCAGAGACAGGAAAGGUGUCCCUGAUCUGCAAGCAUCUGGAUUUAUGGAAGAAUUACCUUGAAACAAUGGUGAGGCAGUACACUGGUGUACCAUCCUUUAGACUACUUCCAAAUACCCUUGCCAACUUUUAUACAUGUGCCAUCGAGAGCAUUCUGUAUGGUUGUAUCACUACCUGGUAUGGCAACCAUAACAUUCAAGAUCAGAAAUGGUUGCAAAGAGUGGUGAACUCGGCCCGGACAAUCACAAAGGUCAACCUUCCAUCCAUGGAAUCCAUCUACCA